AACGAACGCUGGCGGCAGGCUUAACACAUGCAAGUCGAGCGCCUCGCCAGAGGAGCGGCAGACGGGUGAGUAACGCGUGGGAACGUACCCUUAUCUUCGGAAUAGCUCUGGGAAACUGGAAGUAAUACCGAAUGUGCCCUUAGGGGGAAAGAUUUAUCGGAUAAGGAUCGGCCCGCGUUGGAUUAGCUAGUUGGUGGGGUAAAGGCCUACCAAGGCGACGAUCCAUAGCUGGUCUGAGAGGAUGAUCAGCCACAUUGGGACUGAGACACGGCCCAAACUCCUACGGGAGGCAGCAGUGGGGAAUAUUGGACAAUGGGCGCAAGCCUGAUCCAGCCAUGCCGCGUGAGUGAUGAAGGCCUUAGGGUUGUAAAGCUCUUUCACCGGGGAAGAUAAUGACGGUAUCCGGAGAAGAAGCCCCGGCUAACUUCGUG
rnacentral:rRNA from 1 species